AACGCGAAGAACCUUACCAACCCUUGACAUCCUCAGCUACCUCCAGAGAUGGAGGGUUCCCUUCGGGGACUGAGUGACAGGUGCUGCAUGGCUGUCGUCAGCUCGUGUCGUGAGAUGUUCGGUUAAGUCCGGCAACGAGCGCAACCCACAUCUUCAGUUGCCAUCAGUUCGGCUGGGCACUCUGGAGAAACUGCCCGUGAUAAGCGGGAGGAAGGUGUGGAUGACGUCAAGUUCUCAUGGCCCUUACGGGUUGGGCUACACACGUGCUACAAUGGUAGUGACAAUGGGUUAAUCCCAAAAAGCUAUCUCAGUUCGGAUUGGGGUCUGCAACUCGACCCCAUGAAGUCGGAAUCGCUAGUAAUCGCGUAACAGCAUGACGCGGUGAAUACGUUCCCGGGUCUUGUACACA
rnacentral:rRNA from 1 species